ACGAGAUUAAAGUUAAAAACCCUAACAUUGCUAGAUAUAGAACAAGUGUAUGUCUUCCACAUCUUUCUUCAUUCUGCAGUUUUUUCGAUUAUCACCUCUCCUCCUCUACUCUUUGCCAUAUCUCUCCGGUGCUUGAAAACAGAAAAUCUCUUUUCCUCUCUUAGUGUCGUUGAUUCACCUCCCUCUCAUUUAUGAAACCCUAACAUUAUUCAGGUGUGUAAUGUCUAUGUAAAGUACAGGGAAGAAGUUCAAGUUGCUGAUCUCUCCGUAAUGUGGUUUAUUAUUUUCAGAUAUGCUUGGGAUUUGGGAAGGACUUAGGCUGUAUCAUCAAGGUGGAUUGAGAUUCUUUUCAGAUAUGCUUGUCUGGAUAAUAAGCAAUGCAGUAGAUGUUGUGGUUUAGAAUUUUCUUUAUUUAAACUUUUUGGGAAAUAUGUACUACUUGAGUUAACUUUGUCUAAUACACAAUAUCUUUAUUUUGUAUAUACUUAACAUUAAUGAAAGUACAAUAGAUUUUGUAAUUUAUUUAUAUGUGUAUUAUCCUUUUAUUAUUAGUUGGAGAUUAAUAUAUUGUUAAGUACUACUGUUUUAUUCAA